rnacentral:lncRNA from 1 species
AUUUUUAAAUAUUUUUAUGAACAUUUCCAGUUAUAUUUGACUAAUUAAAAGUACUAUAAAAACUUUAUUUUACUGUGUUAAAUUGCUUAAUUUCUACAUGCAAUAUAAGUAGAGAGAAACUGUCUUUAAGCGUGGAAAUUUUAAAUUGUUUUACACCCACUGAAACCUUUGGCUGGAUGUAGGUAUUUCUAAAGAGCCGGAGCCAUUUUGACGAAUGCAAUUCAUCCCUAAUCCAUUUAGUAAAGUCUCAUCUUUUAAAAACAUCCUUUAAAAAGUUUGUAUUGGAGUUCCCUGGUGGUGUAGGGGGUUCAGUAUCCGAUGUUAUUACUGCUGUGGUGCAGGUUUGAUCCCAGGCGUGGGAGCGCCUGUGUACCGCAGGGAUGGCCAACAACACAAAAGCAAGUUUGUAUUUUUUAGCACUGACACAUCUUUCAAAUUUUAGAAAAGUAAGCGUCAAAAUCUUUAAGACGUAUAAUCCGUUCUAAAGAAAUUCAAUAGCAAACAUUUUCUCUCAAUAAGUUUAAGUGUGAGCGAUGUCUUGUUUUUGUUUUAAAUCGUUGCCUUUCAGUUUCUCUCUGGAAGCCCUUCCGCAGGAUCACUGCUGUCCAGCGUGGACGCCAGCAGAGACGUCCGUCCGCUGAGUUCUUGCGAUGCGGGUGGCGAAGGGUGAUAAGGGCAGAAUCCAGGAAGAGAAAGUAAAACAGGUCAUUUACGAUGUUUAUGUCUGUUACAGGUUGACAAAACUAUUUUAGGUCUAUUGGCUUAAAUAUAACAUUAUGAAAGCUGAUGUCACAUAUGUUGUCUUUUUUUGAGUUUGGGGCUACUGAGAAUUUAACAUCACAUGUGUGGCUCACGUUCUAUUUUUUUGUUUUGUUUUGUUUUGUCUUUUGAAGGCCGCACCCACAGCACAUGGAGGUUCCCAGGCUAGAGUUCGAAUUGGAGUUGCAGCUGCCGGCCUACACCACAGCCAUAGCAACGAGGGAUCUGAGCUGCAUCUGCAACCUACACCACAGUCACAGAUGCCGCUCGGAUCUGGCGUGGCUGUGGCUGUGGCGUAGGCUGGCAGCUGCAUCUCUGAUUUGACCCCUAGCCUGGGAACUUCCAUAUAUGUGACUUGGGAGCAGCCCUAAAAAGAGGGAAAGAAAAGAAAGAGAGAAGGAGAGAAGGAGAGAAAGAGAGAAAGAAAGAAAGAAAAGGCAUUUGGGAACAGGAAGAGGGCUGGUGGGCACAGUCCUCAUUUACAAUAUUGAGCAACCACAGGUCAGUCCAAACAGGUCAGCCGGAGCCAAGGACAAUGACCCCAAUAUCAAGCAGAUUGUAUUUUCUUGGGGAAGGAGACCAAUAAAACCAACAGCCAGUCCAUCAGAAAACACGUAGACACGAAUUAACAGUGAAGGGCUGGUUCAUGGUCAGUUCGAAGCAGAGGAACAGGAGCCUCACAAGAGGGGGAAGGACAGGAUCCCCUUUUAGCCCAGGCAGCCUGGGCAUCACGCAUGCUCCCGGGAACCCUCAGGCAAUUUGCUGGUUGCCCUUGUCACACUUUACAGAUAGAGGAUCUUGUGUCCCUUUGACUGCUGUGACGGUCACACUACAACCACUUAGGCAUCACACGGUGCGGGGCUCCCUUUAACAGCCCCUCCGCACAGCCCCGGAUGCCCAGCCAGGUCGUGCCGCAUCUAGGCUGCAGUCCAGUCCCGCCAGGCCACCUUCUACUGCAGGCAGUGCUCUUGCAGGAUUGUACAAAAAUCUGAAUCUCAGGAAAUUCCGAAGUCCGCCUUUUCCAUCCCACCCCCUUCUUUGGGCCAAGAGUUCCACCCCCCCACCCACAGGCUGGGUGGUGCUGGAGAGACCUCCGGCUCUGAGACAGCACCUCGUGUGCAAAGAGAGCAUCCCCAGGGCUCUCCCUGCCCCUACUGACCCCAGCACCUUGCGCCAAGUGCUGCCUAAGAGUGGACAGCACGCUCAGCAGAGAUGCUCUGGGUCAGCGGAGACGUGAGAAAGGAAGAAAGCGCUGAAAGACAGCAGCAUGCCAGCGGCUGACCCUUCAGAAGCCAACCGACUUAAGACCUUUCUAGCAUCCGAUGGGAAGGACCCCCAGAAGCAAGGGGCUGCCCCCCCAGCACGGACCGCAAGACGGCCCAGCCGCCCCCCUCUUUCCCCCUCCCUCUACACUCCGGCUUCUCGAAGGAGGGGUCAUGGUCUCCGCCUCCUCACCCCCCACGGUGCAGCCAAGUGACCCUGUCACACACAGUUCCCUGUGCCUGCACACAGUAGGGUCCCAUGGCCCAUCCAUUCCAAAUACAACAGUUUGCAACCCAAACCCUGAACUGCUUAGAACCACUGGAACGUGGCAGCGAGGAUGUCCCCAAAGCCCGAAACCUACCUGAGGUCUCGGCUGUCUUGGGCAUCGAACACGAUUCCAACCGAGAAAAGCUCUUAUCUUUGAUUCUGGGGAAAUAUUAAUCUCCUCCUAUCAUUCCCACGGUGCCUCUGUGUCCCUCCUGGCUUCUCCCUCUGCCUGACCCCUGAGGAGCUGACACCCUCCAAGGAGCUCUUCUCUUCUCCCCUUGCAGACCUGCCCGUGAAUCCUGGCGACUCCGGGAUGAGCUUCGGGACCUCAGCCAACAUAACCUCUUUCGGCGUCCACGCAUCAGCUACAACGUGGAGAGGAUGCUGUAUCUGAGAAGGCUGAACCUGUGUCCCCAGGGGGAGCACUGAGCGGGCAGGACGAUGUGUCGUGGUCUCUCCUGCAUCCACGUCUCCCCAAGCGGUGUCUUCGUCCUGAGGUCUUCUCCCACCCUAGCCUUUUACUUCAUCUUCUGUGUUUGUCUUUCCGUGUGGACUGAGAUCCAUUCUUAUGGGCCAGGGCUUUGGUCUUGUUCUACCCGGCUCCCAGCCCAGAGGGAAUGGGAGUGCAGUGUCGGCUGAUGGUUGUAUUUGUCGUCCUUUGCUGUGUAACAAAUGACCCCCAAACUGAGCAGCUUGUAUCAGUCAGCUGAGGGUAUCAUAACAGGGCACCACGGACUGGAAGUUUAUUUAUUCUCUCAGGUUUCUGGAAGCUAGAAAACCGAGAUGAGGGUAUCAGCAGGUUCACUUCCUCUCACGGUCUCUCCCGUGGGCCACCUUCUCACCGUCCUCAUGCACAUUUCUCUCCACGUGCAGCCCUGGUGUCCGUCUCGCUCCUCUGGCAAGGGCACCAGUCCUAGCAGAUCAGGCUCCCCCUUGGACCUCAGUUUUAAUCUCAAUUACCUCCCUAAAGGCUACAUCUCCAAAUAUAACCACAGUGCAGGGUAGGCCUUCAACAUGCAGAUUUGAGAGGGACCGGAUUCAGUCCUUAGCCUUCAGGACUCACCGUGUCUGUGGCUCAGGAGCCUGGCCACCACUCCGUGGGCCCUGUGGCCCAGGCUGUCGCUCAGGCUGCUGUCCAGAUGACAGCCAGAUCUGCAGUCAUCACAACCUCUCUGGAGAGGGGUCUCUUCCAGGCUGACUCAGACGAGAGCUCACGCCCCAGCAGCAGGACCGAUGGCUGCAGUCCCUCUCUGGGUGUUGGCCUGAGGCUGCUCUCGGCCCUUGUCCUUGGCUUCAUC